rnacentral:rRNA from 1 species
UGCCAGCCGCCGCGGUAAUACGGAGGGUGCAAGCGUUGUUCGGAAUUACUGGGCGUAAAGCGCGCGUAGGCGGCUAUUUAAGUCAGAUGUGAAAGUCCACGGCUCAACCGUGGAAGUGCAUUUGAAACUGGCAGACUUGAGUACUGGAGGGGGUAGUGGAAUUCCCGGUGUAGAGGUGAAAUUCGUAGAUAUCGGGAGGAAUACCGGUGGCGAAGGCGACUACCUGGCCAGAUACUGACACUGAGGUGCGAAAGUGUGGGUAGCGAACAGGAUUAGAUA